AACGCACCUUGCGCUCUCGGGUUAUUCCUGGGAGCAUGCUUGCUUGAGUGUCGCGUACCUCUCAACCCCGCCCUUCUUUGGAAGUGGCCGUCAGGGUUUUGGAUCAUGGCGCGUGCGAUUGAUUUCGCUGCGCUGAAAUGCAACAAGCUGGAUCUCUAGGUCGUGCGGCUUGACCCGUUGUUGUAAUACUUUAAACCAAUGGGAACGCAUGAGAAAGGGAAGGGGCUUUUGAAAACCGUACAAGUGCAUUUUGACCUCAAUUCAAGCAGGACUACCCGCUGAACUUAA
rnacentral:misc_RNA from 1 species